GGGCGAGUUUCAGAUUCGAUUGCGGGCGGAGAAUGAGAAAAGCAUACCAAAGGCUCGGCUUUGUAAAAACGGAACCUAAAUUUAAACGCAGAAUCAAACGAUUCCAAAGUUGUCGCUUUCCGCGCUCCCAGAGCUACGGCAAGCCUCGCUUGCGCAGCUUAACUUAAGCUGUCCGUCGCAGUAAAUUCACCGUUGGUUUAUUGCGGCGUUAAUUAAACGGUAAACUCUUUAACCCGUCUUACCGCGCGGGUUAAACCGUAUUUUGCGGUAUGCCUUUGCAAAAGCCCGUUCGUCGGCGUUUGCAAAGAAAGACAAAAGGCGGAAUAAGUAUGUAGAAAGCUUAAACUAAACCCGUAAGACUCGGGUGCAAGUCCCGACUCGUCCACCA
rnacentral:tmRNA from 1 species